AGUAACUCUUGUAGGGUACAGAGGUAAGAUGUUCUAUCUUUCAGACCUUUAUUUCACGUAGUUGAAAAAGGCUAUUUUGCCGCCCCGAUGGGUUUCCAUCGGGGCGUUUUUUU
rnacentral:other from 1 species